CCGCCUCCUGACCUCCCACCCCUCCUGACCCUGUUUUAAAGAAGCAACACUUUGGGGCAGCCAUCUGUUUACUUUUUGGAUUCAAGACUUGCUAAAAUGUAUUUCGAUGGACGAAGCAACGCAGAGUAAAAGAACAGAGACUGGCCGGCUGCAUGGACUACUGGAACCGACCUUCCUUGAGGAAAUUUUGAGAUCCUUGCUGGAUGUACCCGUCUGAAGUGCCAGUGCCCAGAGGCCCCCAACCAAGAUCUGAGCUCCAUUACGCCAGGUGCUGUUCGUACAUGUGGUGAGAGACAGUCCCGGCUCCAAACACAGAGGAAGAGACUUCUCUGAGUGUGGCAGAACCAAAACCAGACCCCAUUGUGGGGUAAAGCCUUCUGAGUCCCGGUCCAGCCGCCACACUCGCACUGAAUGGGCAAGACUGUCUUCUGCAGUGGGCCUUCGCUUCAAGUGGAAAUGCUAACAAUGAAACAAUAGCUGCCUGGGUACUCUUUAACUGCCUCUUUUACUCCUCCCUUCACCCCGCCUCCUGCCGCCACCCAGGCACGGUGAACCCAAGGAAACUGUCAAAACACCUUGCAGAGUCAUUGAAUUUGAUCUGAUUUUAUCUUUCUGUGAUGUCACUGUGUUACAUGUAUCAAGCCUUGGCACUUCUUUUCCUCCGGGACUAUGUGCCUGGUACUUAUUGGUGUUGGCUUCUCCGUGGGAGUUCGACAGGGCCCGGUGAGCGCUGAUUGACUGGUGGAGGUUUUUGCCAUGCAGGCACCUGGUAAAGCCUUGUGGGGUAAAGCACGGAGGCUCCAUUGAUGUGCGGUUUUCCAGCAGCAGUGGACCGGGCCUGAAGCCUCUCAUGCUUUCCAGGGCUGGGCAGGACACACACGACAUUCGACGUCGAAGACCUUGUGCGGAAUUGUUGAGCGCUGCCGUGGCUUGGGGGAAUGAAGCAUAAAGCCCAGUGCCAAGCCCACCAGGAACGGUGGAGACCAAGGUGCGACUCCUCCCGUUUCUGUAGCAGGCCUCGGAACAGAGCGGGGCAAUAAGCCCCGUCUGCAACAACCCGGCAGGCGUUUUUCCACACACGCUGCCGAUCGCGGUGGAAGCGAUGCGAGUUCUGUCAGCAAAGCCUUGGAGCAGCAGAGCACACGCUCCCCCUCUCCAGCUCAGGCAGCAGGCCUGGGACCCAUAGACCAUAUGUGGAUUCAUCGUUUAUUAUAUUACAGGCUCCUUAAGUGCUUUGUCUCUUGGCAAGAUCCCAGGCCAGGAAUGUUAACAUUUUUCUGUGGGCUAAUUCCUGAGGGCCCUGGGCCAGUCCAACGCUGGCCUUCUCCCUCCUCUCCACCAUUGGCUCUUAUUUUAUUUUAUGUUUCUUUUCAUCGGUGGUUGAAUUGAAAAUUAAGAUGUGCUGGGCCCUAAUCCCAAAUAAAAAUGCCAAUACUUUCCCUCUGGGGCCCUUUAUUUAACUUCCUAGGCAGACUGUGUACAUUACAGCCGUGCGUGUGUUAUAUACACACACAGUGGAAGGGGCUGUGUGCCUCAGCUCUGACCUGCCUUUAAUGCUGGCUCUGAGGAGCCUGCAGAAGGAGCUCGGUUUUAUUUUCUGGGUGGGAGUGGGGAGGGGAGGGCAGGGGCAUUUGUUCCAGGUUCAAAAGAGCCUGUUUCCAGCCCUCAGGUGGGAGAUUGGGUGAACUAAAAUAACACUCCCUAGCUCUCAUGCUUUUCAUCUGGAGAUCUCAAAGUGCUUUACAGAGAUGGCUGGUAUCAUUAUUCCCAUUGUACAGAUGGGGAAACUGAGGCACUGAGCGGUGAAGUGAGUUGCCCACGGUCACCCAGCCCUGGGAAGAGAACCCAGGUCUCCUGAGUCCCAAGGAAGUGCUCCAGUCACUGCCCCAAGAUGCAGUAUUAUUCCCAUGACUGCCCAGAAACUGACUCCCACAUCAAGCACAGAAUAAUCCACAGAGACCUGCCAAAAGAUUUGGUGGCACCUCUGAAGCUGCAGGCUGGGAAGGAGGGUGCUCGGUGAAGCAGAGAUAAUUAGUUCAUGUUGCUGUUCUGCGCUGACUGAUGCUACCUGGGUCUCCCCUGCCCGCCCUGACCAAGCACUAAGACACUGGGGACGUGGGCUGGGUUUUGUGGCGUGGAUGGUCUUGGCUUGGAGCUGCUGCCCUGGAGGGCUCUGGGCCAAAGUGGAUUGAUGCAGUCACUGCUGACCAGAAUGGGGAAAGGCUGCUGCCUGUUUGGAGUGGUGCUAGCUGAUCCAGAUUUCUGACCAUCCGCCAGACCUGCAAACCUAGCUCCACUUUGGGAGCAAACGAGAGUGGUUGGAGAGUGUAAGUUGCAGACAUCUAAGUAGCACUAAAAUAUAUGUAUGGGGAUUAUUCUUAAGGGGAGGGAGGGGCACCGCUGCUAAAUGAAUUACCAGGGCAGUCAAAGAUUCUGCCUUAGUGGCGGGGGAGGAUGGACUUGAUGACUUCUCAAGGUCCCUUGCUGCCCAACAUUUCUAGGGUGGCCUAGCUUGGCAUCCUUGAACAUUCCUAAGCGUGUGGUAUGUGGGGCACAUGUUCCCUUCAGCCCAUGGGCCUGGACAAAACCAGGCAUGGCUUGGUUUGGAAUUGGCAAAGAUGCAGCAGCUUGGAUUUGGUUUGGCAAACAGGUGAGUUGCAGGAUGGGAGCAGAGAGGAAGGGGUGUCUUGGAUUUGGGUCAAUCUAACUGGAAACCCAGCAUUCUGGGGCAUGGCUGGGAUACAUGCUGCUGGUGUUGGCCCAUUUCUCUUUUACAGACACUUCAUAGGGUUUAGCUGUGACCCUGUUCGGGACAACUCUGAGUUUUGCUACCUUUAAACGUGUUCGGUGGGACAAACGUCUCAAGUAAUACUUUAAAAAUAAUAAUAAUUAAUAAAAAAAAAAAAAAGCAAACC